AAAGUUUUUGGGUUUUCAAAUGUGGCCACAUAAGUUCGUAGCUUUCUGAAGGCCAACCAACAAAGAGAAAAGUGAUUCUUGCACAGGGAAUAAAGAGAGAGCGACUACAUGAGGGGUUUUCCGCGGAUGUUCACGGCAGUACUGCCGGCCGUCUACUACGGUGUAACCAAGAAGAUUCUGGGGUUGUAGAUGUAAAUCGGAGGACCUAAGCGGUGAUGUUGAUGUUUAGUUCGAGAAACCCUAAGCCACAAGAACCCCUCAUCUCUAAUCGGAGUGAACAGAAAAUGAUCGGCGAGACUAGGUGUUUUUGUGGCAAGGUCGUUCUUGAUGUUCUAAUGGUUGUCGACCAGCGGAGACGAAGGAAACAACCACACUGACGACGGCGAUGGUUAUCUAGGGUUCCAAAUGCUGGUUGAUGGCGGCGGUAGUUCCCACGAAGACCUACCUGCCGACUCUGGAGAUGUAAACCCUAAUUUUUUGGGUGAUCUGAGGCUUGGUGCCGGCGCCCGUUUCAACUUCUAGGCUCUAUGACGAAGAUCAUUGAUUGUUUGAGUUAAGCUUGAGAAGUAGUUGAAAAAUGGAGAUCAAAUAUUUCUGAAAUAAGCUUGAGCUUGAGAGGUUGAUGUAAAAGCAUGAAGAGAAACCCAAUCAUCAUAACAUCAAGGUUGAGUGUCCUGACCUGAAUUGCGUAGGGGUGAUAGCCUGAAGCAUGCAGAUACAUUGUUCCAAAGGAAGUCUUGGAAAGAUGGAAGAGCAUUUCGUGCGAGUCUGUGAUCAUGGAGUCUGAUAAGUUCUACCGCCCGUUUAAAGAUCGUUCUACAAUGUUGGUUGAUGAAGGUGGGGUUGCUGCUACACAAUAAGAAUGCCUGAAUUGCAACCGACUGAAAAUUUAAAAGAAAACAACUUAAAAUGAAUGAAGCAAAAAAGACUUUAGGUCUACAACCCAAUCCAGCACGAAAAAGCUUCAAGCAGCUGUUUUUUUGCUAAUAUUGUAGACCUAAAGAUCUUUUUUGCUUCAUUUGUUUUAAAAAUCCUGUUUUUUUGUUCUAUUUCAAUAAUUUUUAUAGAAAUUGAUCAGUUGAGUGUUUGGGUGGAGGUUUGAUCGGACCGAAUUCAAUAAGGUUUUGAACAAGAUGAUCGUGUUGAACAACAGAAGCAUUUUAUGGAACUUGCUUGCAAUUCUUGAAAAUAUUUUAUGUGUUUAAAAAAGUUUUUAUUUUUAGAUUUUCAGAUUUUUAAUAGGUGUCCAAUUCAUCUGGUGGAUGAAGAAUUGAUUGGUUAUUACCUUAAAGGGAAGGUCCAAGGGCUUGAAAUCGAACUUGAAGUGAUUCCGUUGGUAGAAUUGUUCAAAUGUGAUCCAUGGGGGUUGCCCGGUGAGCUUUGUUUUUUUAGCAACAUAUGAUGGUUUUAAUGCAUGCAAGGUGUUUUCUUUAAUGCCUCAAUGAAAAGUUCACUUCACAUGCGGUUGAAUUGAUUCAUUUUUAAAGUCUUGGUGUGUCUUUUUCUUUUAUGUCAAGAUUCAGAACUUUUUUUUAGAAAAUAAUAUGUUUAUAGAAUCUUUUAUUUAUCUUUAAAGAUGGGUCAUGCAAAGUAUAUAAUCGUUUACUAUGCUAUCCUUGGCACAUAAUAUAUAAUUGUUUACAUCGUUAGUUUGACCAUGUCUUUAAAAUGUAUAUAAUCGUUUACAUCGUUUGUUUGACCACAUCUAAUCAGCAUUAUAUGUCGCUCCGCGGAUUCGGGACAACAUAAUUCUCUAAAUAUAAUUAUUGCGGAUGGAUAUAAAUUGUUUAUUGUUAUAAUCUAAAGGUGUUAUCAAAGAACUCGCGUCUGCGGUGGUUGGCGUCGUUGUCGGUCAACGUGCCUGACUGGUCAAAGAUGCUGAAAGAAGAUUCGAGUGAAAUUCUGCGGCUAAAAGCCGAUUUUGACGAAUUUGAGUAUGAUAGUGCCGAAAAACGGAUUCUGUGGCAUAAGUUUAUGGCGAGACAGUUGGCAAGAACAAGGUAGUUUUCUGAUCAUGAAGGAGUUAUCAAUCCUUUUGGUGAUGCUAAAUGUGUAGAAUUAUGUUGGGUUUUUUGAAUAUAUCAUGACCACUUAUAAUAUUAAUACAAAUAUGAUGAUUAUCCACCUUUUUAUUCUUAAUAUAAAAAGAUUCUAUAUCACAUUCAACUAUCCUAAAGCAUGGUAUUGGUGCCUCUAUUUUUAUUGUUUGUACAUUCUUUGAUAAACUCAAAAAACCCAACAGACGCAUUUUGGUAUUAGUGAUUGCAUGUUAGAGCCUUUGCUUUUAAAAUUUUUACAUUUUUUGAAAGAAUAUGCUAUAGCAUAAUAGUUUUACUAUGCUCCUUUCGUUUUGCCAUUUUCUUUUACCAUCAGACACCUUUUGUCCUUAAAAGACAAUAGAGGUGCCAUAAAAUUCAUUGUCAACUGGGUCUUCAACAAAAAUGCCGAAACAACAAAUGCCGUUGGCACACCACCUGUCAAAUCCACUUCAGCUGCGACUCAAGCAACUCCAAUUCCUAAUACACCAGUUGCAACUGAAGAUGAACGCGCAUUCGCAAAACGAUAGCUUUUCCAAACACCAGGUAUGUACUUAUAUAGCUCACCAAUAAACUCACAUAGUUUACCUCAUUUAACAGCGCAAGGGUAUGACGGACAGAAAAAUGAGGUGUUCCUACUAGCAUGCCGGAGGCUAUGACGGUGCAGAAACGAAAGGCCUUUAAGUGCUAUAAUACUCUCUUUUGGAAGCUGAUCGAGUUAUUGGUGGGUUGUUUCCCAAGUGGAAGAAUAUAUCAUAGGAUAACAGGUCGAAUGGAGUUGAAGACAGAUUUCUAUGUAGGUCUCAUGGUGGUUAGGCUAUGCUCUGCUUUGGUGUCAGUUUCAAGUGUACAAUGUGUUCUCAUAUUCAUGUCAACUCUUAUCUAUUUGAUAAAUGGAAAAAUAUAAGAUUGUCGUGUUAAA